AGCGAACGCUGGCGGCAGGCUUAACACAUGCAAGUCGAGCGGGCACUCUCGGGUGUCAGCGGCGGACGGGUGAGUAACGCGUGGGAACGGGCCCUUUGGUUCGGAAUUACUCAGGGAAACUUGAGCUAAUACCGGAUACGCCCCUUUUGGCACAGGCUUGCUGCCGGAGGAUCGGCCCGCGUCUGAUUCGUUAGUUGGUAGGGUGACGGCUCACCAAGGCGACAAUCAGUAGCUGGGCUGAGAGGCUGAGCAGACACACCGGGACUGGGACACGGCCCAGACUCCUACGGGAGGCAGGAGUGGGGAAUAUUGGAAAACGGGCGCAAGGCUGAUCCAGCCAUGGCGCGUGAGUGAUGAAGGCCUUAGGGUUGUAAAGCUCUUUUAUCCGGGACGAUAAUGACGGUACCGGAGGAAUAAGCCCCGGCUAACUUCGUG
rnacentral:rRNA from 1 species